UACAGAGGGGGCAAGCGUUGUUCGGAAUUACUGGGCGUAAAGGGCGCGUAGGCGGCCUGUUAAGUCGAACGUGAAAUCCCCGGGCUCGACCCGGGAACUGCGUCCGAUACUGGCAGGCUUGAAUUCGGGAGAGGGAUGUGGAAUUCCAGGUGUAGCGGUGAAAUGCGUAGAUAUCUGGAGGAACACCGGUGGCGAAGGCGGCAUCCUGGACCGAUAUUGACGCUGAUGCGCGAAAGCCAGGGGAGCAAACGGG
rnacentral:rRNA from 1 species